GGUGAACGCUGGCGGCGUGCUUAAGACAUGCAAGUCGAACGGCAGUCUUCGGACUGUAGUGGCGCACGGGUGAGUAACGCGUAACUGACCUACCCCAAAGUCGCGGAUAACGAUUCGAAAGAAUCGCUAAUACGUGAUGUGCUGUCAGAUCGUGUUCUGCCAGUAAAGAUUGAUUGCUUUGGGAUGGGGUUGCGUUCCAUCAGCUAGUUGGUGAGGUAAAGGCCCACCAAGGCGACGACGGAUAGCCGGCCUGAGAGGGUGGCCGGCCACGGGGGCACUGAGACACGGGUCCCACUCCUACGGGAGGCAGCAGUUAGGAAUCUUCCACAAUGGGCGAAAGCCUGAUGGAGCGACGCCGCGUGAGGGAUGAAGGUCUUCGGAUCGUAAACCUCUGAAUCAGGGACGAAAGACACUUCGGUGGGAUGACGGUACCUGAGUAAUAGCACCGGCUAACUCCGUGCCAGCCGCCGCCGUAAUAC
rnacentral:rRNA from 1 species